CUUUAAGUUCAACAAGAUUCAUUUUAACAAUUUCAUGUAUACAGGGUGUCCCAGCAACUGUGUUACAAUCAGCAAUAGGGUGAUUUUACGUGAACAAACAAGUCGAAACUAUAGAACAAAAUUUGUUAGUAUGAUGCCUCGUUCUGGAGAAAAUUUAAUUACAGAAUUUGUAAAGUAUACUUAAACUUGGCUAAUUACAGACUAGGUCUCGUUUUCAAGAAAAUAAAAGUUACUUAUGAAUUGGCCUAGUACACAUAAUAUAUUUCUAAAUUUUACGAACAUAUACUAUUCUUUAUCUUUCGCUUAUUUUCACAUGUAGAAUAAUUUCCUGUCGAUUAUUUACUUCUGUUUAAUGCGGGAUCGGCCGAGUUCAAGUAUAUUUGACAAAUUUUCAACCUCGAUUUUCUCGAAAACGAAACGUCAUAUGAAUAAAUUUUAUUCUAUAUUAUCGACUUGUUUUUUCAUGUAGAAUCACCCUAUUGCCGAUUGCAACAUAGUCGCUGCAACACCCUGUAUGUACGAAUUAUCGAAGUCAUGCGUGUGUCGCCUUUUCCUCUCUGUCUCUUUCACCACUUUCGUUUUUUCCGCUCCUUUGUAUACAACUAUGCACGAAUGGAUUUCUGCUGCCUAUUUCGGUCAAUUAAACGGAUAGCAUGACAUCAGACGGUUGCUCGUAUUGCAGCCAGCAUUCCUAUCAAUUUAUGGUUACAGGGGUGGGGGGUGGACACCCUUUUAUUACAACGAAACCUCGUUUCCUCGUUUUUAAAUGUUUUGCACUUCCCCGUUGUUUCGAACAUUUUACUAGAAGGACCAAAGCUUUUUUUCCCCACUAUAGAGAUUUCUAGUUUAUCUACGAUGUUUAUUACCUAAGGAAAAUAAACUUCAAUAAAGCGAUUUCGUGUCCCAUUUUUGCCCCGUAAAUUUGACAGAAUGUUAUCGAUUAAUUAUUUAUAUCUUAUGGCUAAUCCGCUGCGAUUCUAUCUCCCGGUUUACUAAAACUGUAUUGGGCCGGUUGUCAUUAAAUGUACUGUAUAUAAUAUCCCCUCGAUCUAAUCCAUGCAUUAAACAUACCGUAUGUAUAUAUAUAUUCUCUUUUUUCCUUUUUUUUUUUUUUUUCACUUUGCCGCACUAUUUUUAGAGUUUUUAAUUAUAGUAAUAAAAAGGAACAACAAAUUUAUCUUCGAGUGCAUCCCACAUGCUUUAAUGAUUUAAUGUGUGCACUAGUGAUUUUAUCAGGUUUAAAUAUCGCUUGUAUACUUUUUAAUAAUAUUUAUUUUAGUAUUGUUAUUAAUCUAUACAGUAGAUCUUUUUAAUUAAA